GUGCUUGCUUUGGCAGCACAUAUACUAAAACUGGGACUAUUAUAGAAAAGAUUAGCAUGGCCCCUGAGCAAAGAUGACAUGCAAAUUUAUGAAGCUUUCCAUAUUUAA